UUGAAACCUGCUUGGUGUGGGAUGUGCGGUGGCUGCUGCUUUGUUGCUUGAGAGACCUCCCCCGACCUAGGAUCAGACUCAGAUUCUAAGUUCUGGGGCCUGGAACCUCUGUGUGCACUUGAACAAUGAAGUUGGUGGCAAGCAUUACUGUACUCCUAUAUUUGGGUGUUAGGGGUGAUGCUAAGACCACACAGCCAAAUUCAAUGGAGAGUAAUGAAGAAGAGCCUGUACACUUGCCUUGUAACCACUCCACAGUCAGUGGAACUGAUUACAUAUACUGGUAUCGACAACUUCCCUCCCAGGGUCCAGAGUAUGUGAUUCAUGGUCUUACAAGUAAUGUGAACAACAGAAUGGUCUCUCUGACAAUCGCCGAAGACAGAAAGUCCAGUACCUUGAUCCUGCACCAUGCUACCUUGAGAGAUGCUGCUGUGUACUACUGCAUCUUAAGAGACCACAGUGGGACAGAUGGGGCUGCAGCUGUGCAAUAUCUCCGUGGUGGUGAAAAGGAAGGCAUCUAACGAGGUCACUGCACAAGAAGGAGCAGAAGUUUAAUAGAAGAAGAAGAAAAUUUAAAGAAGAAAAGGGAAAAGAAGUAAAGAGGAGGUGGUAAGGAAAUCAAUGAGAGAAUUAAAGGAAUGAAGAAACUGAGAAAGAAUAGCUAAGAAGUCUUGAAGAAAAGACUGAGAAGCUUGGCAAAGAGAUGAAGAAUCACGAUUGGAAUUCUGCAAUGAAGAAGAAAGGAAAUAAGAAUUUUCCAGGACCCUUUCUUUUAAUCAACUCUUGCUUUCCAUGUAGAUCUCACUAUAAAAGAUGAGAACCAUCAUCUGGUUGUCCCAAAGCGUUUCUUCAUCUAACCCCAGGGAAGUGCCUGGGCUUUGAAUAUUAUGUUAGUCCUUCCAACCUCUCAAUAAUUGAAAUGAAUUUCAGAAAUUGAUUCAUUUGCCCUUACAAAAAAUUUGAAGUUUUAUUUGUUACUCAUCCAUAGCAUAUACUCUUGGGAUAUAGAUAAUUUCUGGAAGGAAACAAGAAAGUGGUGGAUAUGUGAAUAUUGAUAUCAUUUUUUAAAUCUAUGUUGAAAUAUCUCUAUUAUUACACAAAAAUACACAAAUCUUUUUUCAUUGUAAAAGAUUCAAACUAUUAAGUAUGUGAAGUAAAACCUCAAAGACCCAAACUGACUGUCUCCAUCUCCAUCCCAUUUUCUCUUCAAUUCCUACAAUAAACCAUUUUGACAA